CAGUGGAGGUGGCAGCGUCGGGGCAGAGGACUGGAACUGAUGUGGACUUAGGAAGCACAUUCAAAAAGGCUGUGUUGGUGGCUUGGAGAAAAAGAAAACAAGUCAAACAACAUGGAGGGCAGAGCGGGCUGCGUGAGGGAUGAAGGAUUCAGACAUGGCCCUGAGAGUUAACAGACAACCUUAGGGGAUCAAACUUGGGGCCUUGCGCUGUGAGGCAGGCAGCGGAACCACUGAGCUAAAUCCCCAGCCUCCUGACUUCUUUCUUGACUCAGAAAAAAAAUACAUGGAUGGGGAUGAAAAACCAGUUUCCUUCUGACCAUAGACAUCUGGUCAGCUGUGGACCUGAGGAGCAACUCAUUGAAGUGCAGGAUGGUCCAGGAUAUAGUCACACACACAGUGCACACUGUGUCAGAUGCCUGCCCAGUCCGAGGGACACAAUGGCAAAACAACAUGUAGCUCCUGCCUUGCAGGAGCAAAUAAGAUACGGUGUGACAAAUGUUCCCAGAGGCAAAAGAACAGGAAGCUAGAAACAUAUAGGACAGGACAGCAACUGGUUCAGUCUUAUGGGUAUUAGAGGUUUCUUGGGGAAAGCAAUAUUUUAAGUGAGAAUUAAAGGUUAACCGCAAGCACAGGGCCUUACUGUAAAAAUAGUUUUCCAAAAAUUUACUCUUUUUAUAUAUUCUCCAGUAAAAAACAAUCUAUAACUCCAAAUGUGUGCUUUAAAAUCAUAUAAUCUGGGCCUAGUGAUACAUGCCUGUUGUAUCAGUUACUCAGAAAGCUGAACCCAAAGGAUCACUUGAGUCUAUGAGUUCAAGAUCAGUCUGAGCGACAAAGCAAAACCACAUGUCAAAACAAAAAAGAUGAAUUUCCUAUAUUCUCUACCUUGGUUAAAAUAUACACAAUAAAUAAAUAAUAAAAUAAUAUAAGUAAAUGGCUGGGAGGUAGAUCUAGAACAAAUUCUAUCUUUGAAGGCAAAGAGGGGGGACACAAUAUUGCAAACUUAUAUUUGUUUCUUUUAUACUUGUCCCAG
rnacentral:lncRNA from 1 species